CUAGGAACGUGUUUCCGACGUUCGCUGCCUACGGAAUACUAAGGCAUCGGGCGCGGUAUCCAUCUUUGUAGAUGGAUCGAGGGUGACGAAGGAAACUUCGCCGCCUCCCGUUUGGAAAGGAAGCACCUCGGCGCAUGC
rnacentral:ncRNA from 21 species